rnacentral:rRNA from 1 species
CGGACGGGUGAGUAAUGUCUGGGAAACUGCCCGAUGGAGGGGGAUAACUACUGGAAACGGUAGCUAAUACCGCAUAACGUCGCAAGACCAAAGAGGGGGGCCUUCGGGCCUCUUGCCAUCGGAUGUGCCCAGAUGGGAUUAGCUAGUAGGUGGGGUAACGGCUCACCUAGGCGACGAUCCCUAGCUGGUCUGAGAGGAUGACCAGCCACACUGGAACUGAGACACGGUCCAG